GUGAAGCCCACUGCCUCUCACAUAGACUCACUGCAAGGCAAGAGACUCCUUCUACCAACCACUUGAAAAACAAGAGCUGAGCAGGAAGGAAGUAUGCCACACCCAUCCCAAGAGCCAACUGUGGCCAACUUGCUUCAAAUUAUAGAAGACAUUUUUCAUCAUAUGUUUUUCUGGAGAAAGUUAUUUUGGAAACCGAGCUGAGCAACAGAGCUGAGCGGCUUCCCAGGAAUCCUGCAGACAGAGCUGCAUGAAAGUGCUGAGAGAGGAAGCCUGCCUGUGAGCUCUUGGAUGUCAGUGGCUGCCUUCUGGGGUCCUGAGCCUUCUAUUCCCUGUAGGUCUGAAUGUACGGGAGGCACUGCACAUUUCUAUUGUAUAUUUCC